UACGUAGGGUGCGAGCGUUGUCCGGAAUUAUUGGGCGUAAAGAGCUUGUAGGCGGUCUGUCGCGUCUGCUGUGAAAAUCCGGGGCUCAACCCCGGACUUGCAGUGGGUACGGGCAGACUAGAGUGUGGUAGGGGGAGACUGGAAUUCCUGGUGUAGCGGUGAAAUGCGCAGAUAUCAGGAGGGAACACCGAUGGCGAAGGCAGGUCUCUGGGC
rnacentral:rRNA from 1 species